rnacentral:rRNA from 1 species
UGGCUGGGGUGAAAGGCCAAUCAAACCGGAGAUAGCUGGUUCCCCGAAAGCUAUUUAGGUAGCGCCUCGUGAAUUCAUCUCCGGGGGUAGAGCACUGUUUCGGGGGGCCAUCCCGGCUUACCAACCCGAUGCAAACUGCGAAUACCGGAGAAUGUUAUCACGGGAGACACACGGCGGGUGCUAACGUCCGUCGUGAAGAGGGAAACAACCCAGACCGCCAGCUAAGGUCCCAAAGUCAUGGUUAAUGGGAACGAUGUGGGAAGGCACAGACAGCCAGGAUGUGGCUUAGAAGCAGCCAUCAUUUAAAGAAAGCGUAAUAGCUCACUGGUCGAGUCGCCUGCGCGGAAGAUGUAACGGGCUAAACCAUGCACCGAAGCUGCGGCAGCGACACUAUGUGUUGUUGGGUAGGGAGCGUUCUGUAAGCCGUCGAAGGUGACCUGUGAGGGUUGCUGGAGGUAUCAGAAGUGCGAAUGCUGACAUAAGUAACGAUAAAGCGGGUGAAAAGCCCGCUCGCCGGAAGACCAAGGGUUCCUGUCCAACGUUAAUCGGGGCAGGGUGAGUCGACCCCUAAGGCGAGGCCGAAAGGCGUAGUCGAUGGGAAACAGGUUAAUAUUCCUGUACUCGGUGUUACUGCGAAGGGGGGACGGAGAAGGCUAUGUUGGCCGGGCGACGGUUGUCCCGGUUUAAGCAUGUAGGCGGAGGUUCCAGGUAAAUCCGGUACCUUAUUAACGCUGAGGUGUGAUGACGAGGCACUACGGUGCUGAAGCAACAAAUGCCCUGCUUCCAGGAAAAGCCUCUAAGCAUCAGGUAACACCAAAUCGUACCCCAAACCGACACAGGUGGUCAGGUAGAGAAUACCAAGGCGCUUGAGAGAACUCGGGUGAAGGAACUAGGCAAAAUGGUGCCGUAACUUCGGGAGAAGGCACGCUGAUAUGUAGGUGAAGCCCCUGCGGGUGGAGCUGAAAUCAGUCGAAGAUACCAGCUGGCUGCAACUGUUUAUUAAAAACACAGCACUGUGCAAACACGAAAGUGGACGUAUACGGUGUGACGCCUGCCCGGUGCCGGAAGGUUAAUUGAUGGGGUUAGCGGCAACGCGAAGCUCUUGAUCGAAGCCCCGGUAAACGGCGGCCGUAACUAUAACGGUCCUAAGGUAGCGAAAUUCCUUGUCGGGUAAGUUCCGACCUGCACGAAUGGCGUAAUGAUGGCCAGGCUGUCUCCACCCGAGACUCAGUGAAAUUGAAAUCGCUGUGAAGAUGCAGUGUACCCGCGGCAAGACGGAAAGACCCCGUGAACCUUUACUAUAGCUUGACACUGAACACUGGUCCUUGAUGUGUAGGAUAGGUGGGAGGCUUUGAAGCGUGGACGCCAGUCUGCGUGGAGCCAUCCUUGAAAUACCACCCUUUAAUGGCUGGUGUUCUAACGUGGGCCCGUAAUCCGGGUUGCGGACAGUGUCUGGUGGGUAGUUUGACUGGGGCGGUCUCCUCCUAAAGAGUAACGGAGGAGCACGAAGGUUAGCUAAUCCUGGUCGGACAUCAGGAGGUUAGUGCAAUGGCAUAAGCUAGCUUGACUGCGAGAGUGACGGCUCGAGCAGGUGCGAAAGCAGGUCAUAGUGAUCCGGUGGUUCUGUAUGGAAGGGCCAUCGCUCAACGGAUAAAAGGUACUCCGGGGAUAACAGGCUGAUACCGCCCAAGAGUUCAUAUCGACGGCGGUGUUUGGCACCUCGAUGUCGGCUCAUCACAUCCUGGGGCUGAAGUAGGUCCCAAGGGUACGGCUGUUCGCCGUUUAAAGUGGUACGCGAGCUGGGUUUAGAACGUCGUGAGACAGUUCGGUCCCUAUCUGCCGUGGGCGCUGGAGAAUUGAGGGGGGCUGCUCCUAGUACGAGAGGACCGGAGUGGACGCAUCACUGGUGUUCGGGUUGUCAUGCCAAUGGCACUGCCCGGUAGCUAAAUGCGGAAAAGAUAAGUGCUGAAAGCAUCUAAGCACGAAACUUGCCCCGAGAUGAGUUCUCCCUGAGCCUUUAAGGCUCCUGAAGGAACGUUGAAGACGACGACGUUGAUAGGUCGGGUGUGUAAGCGCAGCGAUGCGUUGAGCUAACCGAUACUAAUGAACCGUGAGGCUUAACCUU